GUAGAAUCUUAUUGUGUACGUAACUUAUAUUGUCAAUGUAGUUCUUAUUCAAAUCUCUUUACCAUAGGAAGAGCUGGAAACGAAAAUUGAAAACGAAUUAUACAAUUAAUUAUAAAAAGAAAGACAGACAGGCUAUAAAAACCAAAGGUAAAAACGUUACACAAAAUGAGAUGAAUCUGAUCUUGACGACUAACGACGACUAAGCGAUCUUUUUAACUUGUUCUAAUUCGGAUAAUGAGAUAAACGUCACAAAUAUUUCUGUAGCAUAUUUACAUGAGAAUUUAAAAGUGUAAAAAACAGUUGGGAAUUUUCAUGUUUUUCUACAACAAAACGGAUUAUGCGAAUCAGUUGAUUUUUGAUACAUGACAAGGAAUAUAUCUAAUAGUUAUUUAAAACUAAUAAAAAAAUAUAAAAUAUUCUUGUACACACGUGAUACUUUUCAUGAUUAUACUACUAUAGAGCUAGAUAGAGCGAUAGAAAAUGGAAUAGAUUUAAAAUCAGAAUAGAAGAGCACUUGAAGGAUAAUAGGUCUGAAGAAGAAAUAAAAUUGAAAGGUUGAAAAAAAAAAGACUUGAAAGAAAGUGAUCAUAAAAGU